rnacentral:rRNA from 1 species
UACGGAAGGCAGCAGUGGGGAAUAUUGCACAAUGGGCGCAAGCCUGAUGCAGCCAUGCCGCGUGUAUGAAAAAGGCCUUUCGGGUUGUAAAGUACUUUCAGUCGUGAGGAAGGUGUUAAGGUUAAUAACCUUAGCAAUUGACGUUAGCGACAGAAGAAGCACCGGCUAACUCCGUGCCAGCAGCCGCGGUAAUACGGAGGGUGCGAGCGUUAAUCGGAAUUACUGGGCGUAAAGGGCACGCAGGCGGUUAAAUUAAAGUUGGAUGUGAAAAUCCCCGGGCUUAAACCUGGGAAUGGCAUUCAAGACUGGUUAGCUAGAGUCUUGUAGAGGGGGUAGAAAUUCCAUGUGUAGCGGUGAAAUGCGUAGAGAUGUGGAGGAAAUACCGGUGGCGAAAGGCGGCCCCUGGACAAAGACUGACGCUCAUGUGCGAAAAGCGUGGGGAGCAAAACAGGGAUUAGAUAACC